rnacentral:rRNA from 1 species
UACGUAGGGGGCAAGCGUUAUCCGGAUUUACUGGGUGUAAAGGGGGCGCAGACGGCGAUGCAAGCCAGGAGUGAAAGCCCGGGGCCCAACCCCGGGACUGCUCUUGGAACUGCGUGGCUGGAGUGCAGGAGGGGCAGGCGGAAUUCCUGGUGUAGCGGUGAAAUGCGUAGAUAUUAGGAGGAACACCGGUGGCGAAGGCGGCUUACUGGACUGUAACUGACGUUGAGGCUCGAAGGCGUGGGGAGCAAACAGG